GGACAACGAAAUCGGCCUCUGCAACCUCCACGUGGUGUUGUCUGGGAACCUGAUCAAAACUACCGAGUUUGAUCAGGCCAAUGCAGAG
rnacentral:ribozyme from 1 species